AGUCGAGCGAGCUUGCCUAGAUGAUUUUAGUGCUUGCACUAAAUGAAACUAGAUACAAGCGAGCGGCGGACGGGUGAGUAACACGUGGGUAACCUGCCCAAGAGACUGGGAUAACACCUGGAAACAGAUGCUAAUACCGGAUAACAACACUAGACGCAUGUCUAGAGUUUGAAAGAUGGUUCUGCUAUCACUCUUGGAUGGACCUGCGGUGCAUUAGCUAGUUGGUAAGGUAACGGCUUACCAAGGCAAUGAUGCAUAGCCGAGUUGAGAGACUGAUCGGCCACAUUGGGACUGAGACACGGCCCAAACUCCUACGGGAGGCAGCAGUAGGGAAUCUUCCACAAUGGACGAAAGUCUGAUGGAGCAACGCCGCGUGAGUGAAGAAGGGUUUCGGCUCGUAAAGCUCUGUUGGUAGUGAAGAAAGAUAGAGGUAGUAACUGGCCUUUAUUUGACGGUAAUUACUUAGAAAGUCACGGCUAACUACGUGCCAGCAGCCGCGGUAAUACGUAGGUGGCAAGCGUUGUCCGGAUUUAUUGGGCGUAAAGCGAGUGCAGGCGGUUCAAUAAGUCUGAUGUGAAAGCCUUCGGCUCAACCGGAGAAUUGCAUCAGAAACUGUUGAACUUGAGUGCGGAAGAGGAGAGUGGAACUCCAUGUGUAGCGGUGGAAUGCGUAGAUAUUAGGAGGAACACCAGUGGCGAAGGCGGCUUACUGGACCGUAACUGACGUUGAGGCUCGAAAGCGUGGGGAGCAAACAGGAUUAGAUACCCUGGUAGUCCACGCCGUANACGAUGAUUACUAGGUGUCGGNGGACCAAGGUCCUCCGGUGCCGGCGCAAACGCAUUAAG
rnacentral:rRNA from 1 species